GACGAACGCUGGCGGCGUGCUUAACACAUGCAAGUCGAACGGAAAGGCCCUGCUUUUGUGGGGUGCUCGAGUGGCGAACGGGUGAGUAACACGUGAGUAACCUGCCCUUGACUUUGGGAUAACUUCAGGAAACUGGGGCUAAUACCGGAUAGGAGCUCCUGCUGCAUGGUGGGGGUUGGAAAGUUUCGGCGGUUGGGGAUGGACUCGCGGCUUAUCAGCUUGUUGGUGGGGUAGUGGCUUACCAAGGCUUUGACGGGUAGCCGGCUUGAGAGGGUGACCGGCCACAUUGGGACUAAGAUACGGCCCAGACUCCUACGGGAGGCAGCAGUGGGGAAUAUUGCACAAUGGGCGGAAGCCUGAUGCAGCAACGCCGCGUGCGGGAUGACGGCCUUCGGGUUGUAAACCGCUUUCGCCUGUGACGAAGCGUGAGUGACGGUAAUGGGUAAAGAAGCACCGGCUAACUACGUG
rnacentral:rRNA from 1 species